rnacentral:misc_RNA from 1 species
GAUGUGACACAUUCUAGUACUACAAAUCUAGACAUACAUAUGUCUAAAUUCAUCGUACUAAAAUAUAUCACAUCCGAUCCUAGAUUCAUUUUUUAGGGAC